rnacentral:rRNA from 1 species
UACGUAGGGUGCGAGCGUUAAUCGGAAUUACUGGGCGUAAAGCGUGCGUAGGCGGUUCGCUGUGUCCGAUGUGAAAGCCCCGGGCUUAACCUGGGGAAUGGCAUUGGAAACUGGCGGGCUUGAGUGCGGCAGAGGGGGUGGAAUUCCGCGUGUAGCAGUGAAAUGCGCAGAUAUCAGGAGGAACACCAAUGGCGAAGGCAGCUCGCUGGGACGUGACUGACGCUGAGACGCGAAAGCGUGGGAGCAACAGG